CCUUGCCAAGCCUGUGUGUGUUACCUCACACAUCCCAUAGACAUGCAUGGUAGAUGGAUUUAAGACUAAAUUUCCCGUACAUAUGAAGGUGUGGGAUGAUUUCCCACUGCGUUGCCAGAGUCCACACUCCAGCUCCAUGAAACCAAUCAUUCUGUGGCAUCAUGAAAACAGCACGUGACAGCGCGGUCACCAUGGGCAGCCCCCCCUUGUGACUGUCCCCACAGGGGAGGAGCAUUGAGGUAUGACACAUCAGGAUACAGCAAUCCUCCCCCUACCACGUGAAGGCACAUCCCCAUGACAGCUCCGAUCAAUUAUACACUAUGAAAGGCUAGUCCCAGAACUGCCACAGAAACUUCCUAAUGCCUUUUUC